rnacentral:rRNA from 1 species
UUCCAGACUCCUACGGGAGGCAGCAGUGGGGAAUAUUGCACAAUGGGGGAAACCCUGAUGCAGCGACGCCGCGUGAAGGAUGAAGUAUUUCGGUAUGUAAACUUCUAUCAGCAGGGAAGAAAAUGACGGUACCUGACUAAGAAGCCCCGGCUAACUACGUGCCAGCAGCCGCGGUAAUACGUAGGGGGCAAGCGUUAUCCGGAUUUACUGGGUGUAAAGGGAGCGUAGACGGCAGGGCAAGUCUGGAGUGAAAGGCAGGGGCCCAACCCCUGGACUGCUCUGGAAACUGUCCGGCUGGAGUGCAGGAGAGGUAAGUGGAAUUCCUAGUGUAGCGGUGAAAUGCGUAGAUAUUAGGAGGAACACCAGUGGCGAAGGCGGCUUACUGGACUGUAACUGACGUUGAGGCUCGAAAGCGUGGGGAGCAAACAGGAUUAGAUACCCUCGUAUAU